UCCCAUUUUACAAGUAUUCACACCCCUGAGUCAGUACAUCUUAGAAUCAUCUUUGAUUUACAGCUGUAAGUCUUUCUGGGUAAGCUUUGUGGGUAAUUCUCUAAGAACUUUACACACUUGGAUUGUACAAUAUUUGUACAUGAUAUUUUUUGCAUGUUUUGGAAUACUCCCAGUAUCUGUUGGGAAGCAGACAACCAGGUUUUCCUCUGGGAUUUUGUCUGUGCUUCUCUCUAUUCCAUUUAUUUUUAUCCUAAAAAACUCCCCUAGUCCUUGCCGAUGACAAGCAUACCCAUAACAUGAUGCAGCCACCUCAUCUUUGAAAAUAUGAAGUGUUACUCAGUGAUGUUGUGUUGGAUUUGCCCCAAACAUAACGCUUUGUAUUCAGGACAUAAAGUUAAUUUCUUUGCCACAUUUUUGCAGUUUUACGUGAGUGCCUUAUUGCAAACAGAACGCAUGUUUGGAAUAUAUUUAUUCUGUACAGGCGUCCUUCUUUUCACUCUGUCAAUAGUAUUGAGGAGUAACUACAAUGUUGUUGAUCCAGCCUCAGUGUUCUCCCAUCACAGCCAUUAAACUCUAACUGUUUUGCAGUCGCCAUGGGCCUCGUGGUGAAAACACUGAGCGGUUUCCUUCCUCUCCGUUAACUGAGUUAGGAAGGACGCCUGUAUCAAUGUAGUGACUGGGUGUAUUGAUACACUGAGUUAGGAGCAUUAUCAUUGUAGUGACUGGGUGUAUUGAUACACUGAGUUAGGAGCAUUAUCAUUGUAGUGACUGGGUGUAUUGAUACACUGAGUUAGGAGCGUCCAUCAUUACUUUAAGACAUGAAGGUCAGUCAAUACAACAGUCCAUCAUUACUUUAAGACAUGAAGGUCAGUCCAUCAUUACUUUAAGACAUGAAGGUCAGUCAAUACAACAGUCCAUCAUUACUUUAAGACAUGAAGGUCAGUCAAUACAACAGUCCAUCAUUACUUUAAGACAUGAAGGUCAGUCCAUCAUUACUUUAAGACAUGAAGGUCAGUCAAUACAACAGUCCAUCAUUACUUUAAGACAUGAAGGUCAGUCCAUCAUUACUUUAAGACAUGAAGGUCAGUCCAUCAUUACUUUAAGACAUGAAGGUCAGUCCAUCAUUACUUUAAGACAUGAAGGUCAGUCCAUCAUUACUUUAAGACAUGAAGGUCAGUCCAUCAUUACUUCAAGACAUGAAGGUCAGUCCAUCAUUACUUUAAGACAUGAAGGUCAGUCAAUACAACAGUCCAUCAUUACUUUAAGACAUGAAGGUCAGUCAAUACAACAGUCCAUCAUUACUUUAUGACAUGAAGGUCAGUCAAUACAACAGUCCAUCAUUACUUUAAGACAUGAAGGUCAGUCCAUCAUUACUUUAAGACAUGAAGGUCAGUCAAUACAACAGUCCAUCAUUACUUUAAGACAUGAAGGUCAGUCCAUCAUUACUUUAAGACAUGAAGGUCAGUCAAUACAACAGUCCAUCAUUACUUUAAGACAUGAAGGUCAGUCAAUACAACAGUCCAUCAUU